CUGUGGAUGAUCUGUGACUCAAGUCGAUGAUUUUAUUUUAGCCUUGGUGAGCUUAACUCUGCAAAGCUUGGAGCAUUUAUCAAGGUCAUUAAAUGCGGUACAACAAAACUUGGAGUAAAAAGCACCUUUCUUGAGGAAAUCUAUACAACAAAACUUGAGAGAGGUCCUAAUAUGGACGAGUUGGAAAAGAAAGCUUUAAGAAUAGCUAGAGAAAUUGAGGGUGAGGAAACCAUGAUCUUCAUUUAGCAGAGGAGAGAGGCAUUUGUAUCCAUGAAGAUCUUGAUGUUGAUGAGGAGACUAGAUUCUCUUCUGUCAACAGGGGUAAGGGGGUUGAAGAUAGUGGGUACGAAGAACGUGAAGAUAUAUUGUUGGAUUCAUGUAAUAUGGAAACCUUUGGUGGUUCUGAUUCUGUCACUAAGAGGUCCACUGAUUUCACUAUUGGGAAAAGCAACGAUGGAGCUCGAACUUCGUCAAGCUCUUCCUAUAAGGUGAUGUUAAUGAAGCUACGUACAAGGUUAGGGAUUCUGAUUAUUUUCUGUGGGAGGCUAAUAGUAAUCGUGGGGAAGUUCUUUUUCUAGAUCAACUGGAGGAUGGGAGCAAGUAUACUCUGGCACGGAUAGUACUCGGCCCAACAGAGAAGAUUCGCAAAUAUUUAACUUUGCUGCUGUGCCAAAUUCAAGCCCUUCUAAGGCAUCUUGGAAUACCAUUCAAUAAGUCCAACAUGGUAAUCAGCUUGAUUACUUGAAGCAUGUUGAUAUAUAUAGGAACAAGGAAAACCAGGAAAAAACCAGCAUCAAAUCAGUAAUGGUUAUGAGAUGCAGCAGACUUGCUACCAAAAAGACAACUCUUAUGACAGCUAUGGUGCCAAAGGAUCAAGUGGACAAGAGCAAGAACAUGUAAGGAAACUCAAAUUCAUUGAUGAUGUUUCUAGCAGUGCCAUAAACUUGGAUAAGUUACAGGAUCCUUACCUGAUUUUCAAGUUAACUCAAAAACCUCAGAGGUGCCUUCUAGAGGUGAUCUUUGUCCUCAUCACUCAAAUGUUACUGCUCCUGCAAGGUAGUUGGUUAUAAAAUAAUGAUGGUUUGGAAAUGUGGGUUGAUAUGUAAUAAUUGUUAUGCCAACUGAUUAUCUCACUGCUUUAUCACACAUAGCUUUACUGAUUUCAUUCCUUGCUUAUACUUUGUACUGGCUUUUGUUUUUCUCUGCUCAUUAUGUAUUCCUAUUGGUUACUAGAAUUCCUUAUCAAUUUGUCAUUGUUUAUGUAGAGUACCAUAUUUUCCCCCUUGAAUUAUAACCAAAUAUCAUGUCAGGCCCAGCUUGUGCUGAGUUCUGAUUCACA